GUUUUACAUCUUGUUCCAAAGGUAAAUAGGAGAAGACUGUCUUGCAGGAAGCUAGGAGGUGGGUCCCAAAGCCAACCCCACUGUGACACACUUCCUCCAACAAGACCAUACCUCCCAACAGUGCCACUCCUUAUGGGCCAAGCAUAUUCAAACCACCAGAGGGAGGGAGUGGGUAUAUCUACACAUGAGGCCUGGAGCUGGGGUUACAGGCCGUUGUCAUCUGUUCCACAUAGUUGUUGGCAAUUGAACUCGGGUCCUCUGCAAGUGUGUUAGAAACUCUAACCUGCUGAGCCAUCUCUCCAGUUAAUCUUUUAAAAAGAAAACAAAGUUGUAACAAAAUCAUAUAGCCCAGGCUCGUUGUCAUGGCCUCUCUGUCACCAAGGAUGACCUUGAACUCAUGAUCCUACUGUCUCCCCAGUGCUUGAAUUGCGAGCAUGUACCACCAUGCCCAAUUUAUGUGGUCCUGGGACUUAAGCCCAAGGCAUCUGCAUGCUGGGCAGACUUUAUACCAAGUAAAUCAUAUUCCCAACCCUAGAAUCAUCAACAUUGUCAUCAUCCACCACUACCACCAUCAUUGCCAUCAUCGUCAUCAUCUUCACCCCACCAUCAUUGGGAACCAAUGUGGUCAGACUUCUGGCCGGGCACCAAACGCCCAAGAUCCGCCUGUUUCUACCUUGUCUGCUCUGGGAUUACAGGUGCGUGCUAUUAUACCAGCUUUUUACAAAGCUGCAUGCUUGCGUGACAAGCUCUCGACAACUGAGCCCUCUCCCCAGACCCUAAAUAGGUCUUGAUUUUAGUAGUAUUAUGUCCCAUUUUUGUUGUUGUUGUUGUUGUUGUUCUCUUUGCUAGCUAGGUGCUUUUUGUUCUUUGUUCUGUUUUACUUUUGUUUUUGUUUUUCUGUCAAUUUAAUGCAUGCUAAAGUCAUCAGAGAAGAAGGAACUUCAAUAAAGAAAGUGUCUCCAUCAGACUGGCCUGUAGACCUUAAGACUGUGGGUCAUGUUCUUGGUUAAUCGUUGGUAUGUGGAGUGUGGCAGACCCCUGUAUUUGGUGCCACUCCGGUAAGGUGAUGGUCCUGGGUUGUAUAAAAGAAGCAAACUUAUAAACCUUUUGGUAUAAAAAGGCCUGUACAGAACAGGGCUUUCCCCUGUUCAUGUUAGCUUACUUAGUUAUUGUUCUUGUUCAGCUCAUAUUUAGGCUUCAUAUUCAUAAGGCUUUAUAUUAUGGACUCUGACAUUCUCACAGCAAACUCCAUGUCUUUCUGGUCCUUAGAAUCUUUUCACCCUCUCUUUUGUGCGAUCCCUGAGCCUCGGGUAUGACAGUUAUAGUGUAGAUGUGUGCUAGAGAAAUUAUCUUUCCCAAAGAAGAGCAUGCCGUUUGGUUAUACAGUACCCAAUUGUCAGCCCUGAAGACGUUUGUAUAAGUAACAUUAUAUAAGCUGAGCAGGGUUACUUAUGCAUUUAAGAAUCUAUGGCCAGUGGUGGUGGUGAAUGUCUUUAUUCCCAGCACUUGGGAGGCAGAGAUCUCUGAGUUCAAGGCUAGCCUGGUCUACAGAGCAAGUUUUAAGGCAACUAGGGCUAUACAGAGAAAGCCUGUCUUGAAAGU
rnacentral:lncRNA from 1 species